UCUCCCCCAAGUCUCGGGUGAGAUCACCACGGAGCGGCUUAGCGCGGCGCACAAGUCUCGCGAGAGAAGCGGCGGCUGGGCCCUGCAGGCGGAGGAAGUGGAAAAAGUCGCGGGAGGGUAGGGGACCGCGGAACUUCUGGUUGCUAUGACGACGGCAAAGCCCUGGAUUCCUGUCUCCUGCGGAGAGCAGAGGCUGCAAACAAAUGAAAAGAGGCUUGCUCAUGACUUGGAAGCGGUGGGCUGAGGCCUCCCAAGACCAUCUGGCUUGUUCCAUUGCCAGCCAGAGUGGAGGCGACAUUCACACGAACCCAGGAGCUGCAGGGGCGCGUGAGCUACAGCUGCCUUGUGGCAUCCAAGGAGUGCGCAACUAGUCUCACUCUGUUGCCCAGGCUGGAGUGCAGUGGCGCGAUCUCAGCUUACUUCAGCCUCCGCCUCCCGGUUUCAAGUGAAUUCUCCAGCCUCAACUUCACAAGUAGCUGGGAUUACAGGGCAUUCAAGCAGCCCUGAGGAGAGGUCCACAUGGUGAGCCACUGAGGGCCUUGCCAAGAGCCAGCACCAACGGUCCAGGUUUGGAGUGUACCACCUUGGAAGUGAAUCUUCCAGUCCAGUCAAGCCUUCAGAUGACUUCAGAACCGUCCAUGUAAGCCACUCUUGGAUUCCUGACCCACAGAAACUGUUGGAGGCAUUAUCAACAGUUUCUAACAUCACAGACAGACAAACAUGUGCCUCCUGAUUGAAAAAACAGAACAUCACCUGUAGUCUUGCCAGUGAGAUCAAACUGAAGUCCAAUUAACCUCUGGAUCCAGCUGCCAAUUUGCAGGAAAUAGAGGAGAGAAGCAUCUGUUGAACUGCACCAUGAGUAUACACUCAGCAAAGGCCAAACUGUGGAAAAUGAUACAGGUCAAACAGCCUGGAUUCUUUAACAGUAAGUGAUGUUUCUGAAGCACCAAUGAAAAUGAAGUCCUGAAGUCCUGUGCUCAAUAUGAAAUGUUGGAAGUUAGAAGAAAAAAACAAAACUUGGAUCCAAUCUCAAGGCACUUUUUGUUUAAUGGGAAGAAGUGGAUUAUUUUAAAAGCUACAAAUAAAGUUACAUAAAAGUA
rnacentral:lncRNA from 1 species